rnacentral:lncRNA from 1 species
AUGUUUCGAGCAUAAAUUAUCCAUUCUCUUCCAUUCCAUUUCUUGCACUAAAUUUGUUGUUGAAUUCAAGACAUUGAGGAAAAGCUCAUCCAUUCCAAAAUUGUAGCAAUUAACAAUCUUCCUUGUUUUGGUUGGCUAAAAACGAGAAGAGUAAAGGGAGAGAUUAAUUGAUGCAAUUUGGAGUUCUUCAAGGUUUAAUUAGAAUGGGACUAACAUUAAAGAGCUACAUUUGGAGUUUUAGACUUUUUUACUUUUAGUAGAGAGAAAAUCUUCUCUUACCCUUUUUUUUUUCUUGAGCUUUAGGCUCUUCUUCUAUCGGCUGUGUCUGGCCUUCCUUCGCACCAUCUAGAGAAAAGCCUUUCUUCCUCUAACUAGGGGAAAGCCUCUCUUCCUUUGACUCGGUGAUGGAUUUUCUCUUCCAAUCACCGGGUUGGGGUGUAUAUAUUUAUUCCUUCCUUUUGCUUUGUUUUUUUCUGUGUUUUGAGUCUAUAGAGCUUCUAUUUCAUAAGGAUUUAUAUGGCUGUAUUUGUGAUUCCUUACUUUCUUGUGUUGGUUUUAUUAGAUCUAAUGGUUGCAUGUUGUUUUACAGGUUCCUCCAUCAUUUUUGGGCUUCGUAUGUGUUCCUUUGUUUUAUUUUACUUUAGUGAGACUAAAUCGGAGAUGGAGUCUUAGCAUUUCUGAAGNNNNN